GGUCUGCAACCUGAAGGCAAGCUCAUCAACGGGAAUGAAGAAGACAACCUUUAAUGCAGAAGCUGAAAAACAGAAAAAGAAGCUAGAGUAAGGAGAUGAGGGCGAGCAGGCUUCCGCUGGAAUUCUUAAUCUCGACACCAAAUGUCAGCACCGUGAGAACUGAAAGAGAGCAUUUCAGAAUGCUGGGACCGCGGAUGUGAGACUUCAUAGCUGCCAGGCAAGCACACUAACAACUGAGCUGCAUUUCCACACCCGGAUGAACUUUGUCUGAGCAUAAAGACCACACAGAAGAGCAAGCGCAAUUGUUAGCAUAGGAUCUGCUCCAUAGUCACGUGACCAGCAUGAAAGUCAGCUUCACCCUAAAAGACAGCCAUCUUGGCUUUUAUCCUAGCCUCAUUUAUGCUUCUUUCACAACUCUUCAUAAAUGGGAUUUUGUGGCAAGUGGCCCUUCAUGUCUCAUUUUGUUUUUUUUUCAACUUCAUAGCUUCAUUCUUAUGAAGAUUGAAUGAGUCUUCUUCAGAGAUUCAUUCUUGUGGCUGUAAUAUUUUGGGUUCCUUCAUUGUCAUGGCUGUGGAAGAGUCCAUUGCAUGAACACAGACCACACUUCAUUUGUUCGUUGUUACAAGUGAAUAUUUGGCUAGUUUCUGAUUCAGGUCUAUUAUGAACAAUACAUGUCUUAUGGUCAAUAUGUGUAUACAUUUCUGUUUUGUUGAGAUUGUGUUAUACAUAGAGACAAAUGUGCAGACAACUUUAUACCGAAAGUCUUCCAAUAUGUAUUAUUUUGGAAUUUGUAUAUGCACAAGUUUGUACACUCGUAGCUCCUGUCUGAUCUUUAUACCUUCUCCCUCCUUUUUUUUGCCUUAUUGCAUUCAGUAGAACCACCAGUACAAUGUUCAGUAGGACAGAUGAUGCUGAACAUUCUUACCUUGUUCCAAAAACUACAGAGAAGCUCUUUAAUUAUUCGUGCUUAGUACGCUUUACACUGCAUGGUUUUGUUGCUGUUGUUUUAGAGCAAAGAAUGAAUAUUUCUCUUCUAACUUUGCUGAGUUUCUCUUAUCAUGAAUAGAUAAUAAAUGUCUUAAAACGCA